AGGGGUGUAGCUCAGCUGGAAGAGCGCCGGUCUCCAAAGCCGGAUGUCGCAGGUUCGAACCCUGUCACCUCUG
rnacentral:tRNA from 1 species